UUUGUAAUAGUAAAAAUAAUCGUUUAUUUCUUCAAAUAAUAUAAAAAUGAACAUUACAAAGUAACAUCAUCUCACGGCAAUUAUAAUAAAUGUUCAAAAUGAUGUCCUCCAGCUUCAAUAACUGCUCCACAACGUUUUUAUUUACCGCGUUUGUGGCGUUGUAAAGAUACGAAUAAUCGGUGCUCAAAAUUUGGAAUUCUCCCUCGAUUCGCUUUUUUAAAUGGAUCAAAUUUUGGAUUGGCGUCUUUUAAACUCGAUCUUUGAUAACUUCCCACAUGCUGAAAUCACAAGGUGUGAGACCGGGUAAUCUUGGGGGCCAUUCCGUCGUCCCACGGUGACAAAUCCACCCGUAGAAGUUUUUAUUCAAAAAAUCACGAAACUGUUACGAACGAUAACGAACAUGAAACUGCGUCUAUUAGGUUAUGUUGUAUUUUUUAUAAAACUUGCUGUUGUUGUCCGUAAACAAGAUAACGAGACCAAAGUUGCAAUAUGACGUAACGGAAACGACGUGGAGGGAGAAACUGCGCCGUAAUGCGCGUUCCAUACAAGACGGUAGGCGUUGCGCGACUUUUGGCCACCUCUGUAUGAUCUUAUCAAGGUGUUCAG